GACGAACGCUGGCGGCGUGCUUAACACAUGCAAGUCGAACGGAAAGGCCCUGCUUUUGUGGGGUGCUCGAGUGGCGAACGGGUGAGUAACACGUGAGUAACCUGCCCUUGACUUUGGGAUAACUUCAGGAAACUGGGGCUAAUACCGGAUAGGAGCUCCUGCUGCAUGGUGGGGGUUGGAAAGUUUCGGCGGUUGGGGAUGGACUCGCGGCUUAUCAGCUUGUUGGUGGGGUAGUGGCUUACCAAGGCUUUGACGGGUAGCCGGCCUGAGAGGGUGACCGGCGCCAGGGUGAGAGGGCUACGGCGCACGAUACGGGGAGGGGCAGCGGUGGGGACUGCUGAACGGUGCGCGGGCGCCGGAGGCCACAACGCGGGGUGGGGGAUGACGGGCUUGGGGUUGGACGCCGCUUCCGCCUGUGCCGGGUGGUGAGAGGCGGGUAUGGGAAAAGAAGCGCCGGAGCACAAAGGCCCAGGAGCCGGGGGAGUAAUGGGACACCCACCCUUCAGACC
rnacentral:rRNA from 1 species